GACGAACGCUGGCGGCGUGCCUAAUACAUGCAAGUAGAACGCUGAAGAGAGGAGCUUGCUCUUCUUGGAUGAUUUGCGAACGGGUGAGUAACGCGUAGGUAACCUGCCUUGUAGCGGGGGAUAACUAUUGGAAACGAUAGCUAAUACCGCAUAACAAUGGAUGACACAUGUCAUUUAUUUGAAAGGGGCAAUUGCUCCACUACAAGAUGGACCUGCGUUGUAUUAGCUAGUAGGUGAGGUAAUGGCUCACCUAGGCGACGAUACAUAGCCGACCUGAGAGGGGGAUCGGCCACACUGGGACUGAGCCACGGCCCAGACUCCUACGGGAGGCAGCAGGAGGGAAUCUUCGGCAAUGGGGGAAACCCUGACCGAGCAACGCCGCGUGAGUGAAGAAGGUUUUCGGAUCGUAAAACUCUGUUAUAAGUCAAGAACGGGUGUGGAAGUGGAAAGUCCCCACUGGGACGGUAGUUAACAAAAAAGGACCGGUUAACUCCGG
rnacentral:rRNA from 1 species